GACGAACGCUGGCGGCGUGCUUAACACAUGCAAGUCGAACGGUGAAGCGAGUGCUUGCACUCGUGGAUCAGUGGCGAACGGGUGAGUAACACGUGAGUAACCUGCCCAUCACUCUGGGAUAAGCACUGGAAACGGUGUCUAAUACUGGAUACGACCAACCCUUGCAUGGGGUGUUGGUGGAAAGAUUUAUCGGUGAUGGAUGGACUCGCGGCCUAUCAGCUUGUUGGCGGGGUAAUGGCCCACCAAGGCGACGACGGGUAGCCGGCCUGAGAGGGUGACCGGCCACACUGGGACUGAGACACGGCCCAGACUCCUACGGGAGGCAGCAGUGGGGAAUAUUGCACAAUGGGCGAAAGCCUGAUGCAGCGACGCCGCGUGAGGGAUGACGGCCUUCGGGUUGUAAACCUCUUUCAGCAGGGAAGAAGCCAAAGUGACGGUACCUGCAGAAGAAGCACCGGCUAACUACGUG
rnacentral:rRNA from 1 species